rnacentral:misc_RNA from 1 species
GGUGGAUCAACACAAACAGGACACCAGUCAAUAGCCUUCAUUUCAGACCAAAAUUCUUCUUCUGGCAUAUCAUCAACCAAGUCAGUCAAAAGAUAUUCAAUGUCCAGAGCAUUUUUUAAGUGAUUCUCACCUCUUUCAAGAGAAUUGAGGUACACACCCUCACCAUUUGCAAUACAAUUAUCCUGGCAAACCAAAAUACCCUGCAACUGAUUGCAAUUGCCUUCUU